UUACGGCCAUAUAAUAUUUUAACACCGGGUCCCGUACCAUCACCGAAGUUAAGCAAAAUUGAGCUUUGCCAGUACCUAGAUGGGUGAACGUUUCGGAAUACCCGGUGCUGUAAG